rnacentral:pre_miRNA from 1 species
CCCACACACAUGUGUGUAGGAUCUCAAAAGAUCACCAUUAAAUUUGAUACAGAUCUCUAAAAAAGUUAUCACAUAGGUGUGAUAUUUGACUUUUUUAGAGAUCCGUAUCAAAUUUAAUGGCGAUCUUUUGAAAUCCUAUACACAUGGGUGCGGG